UGCUAUAUUUGCACUUGUCCGAAGAUAGUGGGGGCCCGGAGCAUAGUCGAAGGGCUUAAUCAUCCCACCGAGGAAUGGUAAGUUACUUAGGUGACCACACUCCUCGGGGCAGCCGAGGUUUUUUUAUGGUGAG
rfam:Candidate division WWE3 bacterium RIFCSPLOWO2_01_FTLL_53_14 rifcsplowo2_01_scaffold_20381, whole genome shotgun sequence.